UCUCCGUAGGUGAACCUGCGGAAGGAUCAUUACCGAGCCAGGGCCCUCUGGGUCCAACCUCCCACCCUUGUCUCUUGUCCCUCGUUGCUUCGGCGGGCCCGCCUCACGGCCGCCGGGGGCCAUCUCGCCCCCGGGCCCGCGCCCGCCGAGCACACCCACGAACUCUGUCUGAAGAAUGCAGUCUGAGUGAUAUGAUAAAUUAUUUAAAACUUUCAACAACGGAUCUCUUGGUUCCG
rnacentral:misc_RNA from 1 species